CGGGGUGUCUUCGAGAGCAAGGGAGUCUUUCUCUAUUCCUGUGCUUUGCUGGGAGGGUCUAGGGACCCCGAAAAGUCAAUGACCACCAAAGCCACCCCAACCUGGUGGCUUUUAGAUUCUUGUCUCUCAAAUACAAAGAAUAAAAUCCAUGGACGGCGGAAGAUUUUUAGGAAUUAGGGGAUGACUAAGGAAAUCCACAGAGGAGGAGUCAGAAGAUGACAGGUCCAUCUGAUUAUGGACUGACCAUGAAUAAGAGGUGAUGAAGUUAAAACAGCAGUUAAAAUCAGUAAAAAAAAGGCUUCAUAAGACACAGCAAAUGCAACCAUAAGCCACCUAGCUCCAGAGGCAGGCUAGCCUUCAGAUGGCAAACCAGCUCAAAGACGUUAGCCAGAAGGUAGCAGCUCAAGACAGAAGUUCGGGAGCAGUCGGCAGAGUAAGGUAAGACCCCAAGUGUGUUGAUCACUGCUGAAACCCAUGCUUCCGGGAAGCAAUGGUCACUUGCUACUCUUGGAGACUAGCUUUUCUUUUCAAGUUAAAUUGAUUCAAAUGUGGAUGGGUAAUGCCACACGUGUGCCAGGAGAGAAGGAAAAAGAUUACUGACAAAGUGGUACUUGUUGGGGAGAGAAAGACAGACUCUCAAGGAGGGACGUAAGUGGUUCGGAAGCCCAAGGUGAAGAAUGGCCAACUACACUAAUGGAGACCGCACGAGAUUCAUCGUAUGGUUAAUCAGAAAGAGGACGCGAAAGGAACGAGGAUGACGAAGACGCGACAGCUGUGGGAAAUAUCCAAAGUAAAGCCCAACCGCAUUACAGGCAUUGAAAUGCGACGUGUCUCCACAGUACAGCAUCUUCCUGUGACCUGAAACACUGCGGGAGAGAGAGAAGGAGCUGGCUAAAGUCAGGAUGGAGGGAGCUUCACACGGCU
rnacentral:lncRNA from 1 species